CCCCAGCUCAGGAUCCCGGGAUCUCCCCGAGCCAGAGCCUGUGUGCCGAGGGCUCCAAGACACUGACGUCGGGGUCGCUGUCGGAGAGCGCCGGGGGGCCCCUGGAGUGCUGCUGCCUGGUGGUCCUGGCCACGGAGAACAAGGUGGGUGCCGAGGAGCUGUGCUCCCUGCUCAGCCAGGUCUUCCAGAUCGUCUACACCGAGUCCACCAUCGACUUCCUGGACCGCGCCAUCUUCGACGGGGCCUCCACGCCGACACGGCACCUGUCCCUGCACAGCGAUGACUCUUCCACCAAAGUGGACGUGAAGGAGCCCUUGGAGGUGGAUGCCAGCACUUUGU